GUUAAACUGCCCCAGGUGACUGCUCAGUCUUUGCCUAGUUAAGGCUUAGAUUCUCAGCAAUGUAUAGCUAGAUCAUCUUCUUUCUGUUUUGCAUAUCCUAAGCCAAUGGGUUAGACAUGUGGAUACAGGAGUUAAAAAGGAAGUACUUAGAUAGCAAGGACCAUAGGAGUCCUCGGUAAGGCUUUUUCUUUUUAAUGAUAAGCAGCCCCAAAUCAUUUUCUAACAAAUAGCAGCCUGCAAGCUGGGAGCUUGCACUGGUGAAUGCUGGCAGGAACUAAGGACUAGACAUUUUCAAAAUGGUGGCUCCAUCUUCCCUUCUCCGCCAGCCACAUGUAUUGUAAGGAGCAGACAAGAUGGCGCCCAUCAACUGGAAAGUCCAUUUGCAUAAAAAGAUUAGGGUGGGGCAACCAGCCUUCCUCAUGCACUAUAUAUAGGUCAUACCUGAUUGAACCAAUCUGUGAGCCCUAGGUAAAUUAGACAUCACCUCCUCAAACUGGACGAUAAAACUCAGGGCAUUGGAUGCCAACCACUCCUUUCUGCUGGGAGACCCCUUCUGCUAUAGAGGAAGCUGUUUCUCUUUCUCUUCUCUUCUACCUAUUAAACCUCCAGUCUUAAACUCCUCCUGUGUGUCCAUGUUCUGAAUUCUUUCUUGGCCACCACGUGACGAUGAACCACGGGUUUACACCCCAGAUGACAUAAGCUGCUUCAAUAUUUUAUUAUAUAUUCAUUAAAUCACCAUGUAAGUGUCCUGAACUAUAAAUGAAUGGCUGGCAUAGAAAUUUUUAUCAUUGACAAUAAUAAAAGAAAAGGAAGGCAGAAACGUAACGCUACUUGCAUAAGAGUCAUUCAUCCAGUUUUGUUGCAUACAUAUAAUUUGCAUAGAAAAAAUACGACCUCACUAAAAUUCCAUGAUCCUGAUUAUGUUGUAAAUAUGAGAUUAUGUUUCAUCUUUGACUGGAAACUUUGCUUUGCAGCUGGAUGAACCCACCUGAAUUCAGUCCACGAAUAGGAGGGAGAUAGUUGAGGAAUAUUUGAAAGAGAUUUGGCUCAGGGGUCAAACAUUUGACUAGAAAAAUGAUUUCUUCUACUAAUUGGCGUUGUAACCUUGCAUAUGUCACUUUAUCAUUUUGCUUCAGUUUCCUCACUGUAUAUUUGUCUUUGUUUUCUUAUUUUCUUUCUGUAAUAGUUUUUAACUCACAGCGUUGAUGUUAGGAUUAAAGAGAUAGCAUGUGUAAACAAGAGGCACAUGAUUAAUCUUCAAGAGGCAGUCAAGUGCACUAGCUAAUAACACAGAUUUUAGAGCAAACAUACCUAGAUAUGGAUCCUAGAUCUGCCUCUUAUUGGCUCUGUCCCUAGACAAGUUAUUGAACCUGUGUCUCAGCUCGCUGACCUGUGAAAGAGGAAUGACAGUCAUGCCUAGGAUUGUUGUGCAGAUUAAAUGAGUGGCUGUAUGUGAAGUACUUAGAAGGGUAUCUGAGAAAAGAAUAGAUUGGACUGGGCAGGCUGGAAGAGGGAAAACUGGGCUCCUAUCUGGGCAAUGAAGUGUUCAAAGGGCAGAUAUGUUCUGAAUGAGAGUGGCAACAGGAGAGAUGGAAAGAGGAGGUGGAAUAGGAAAUAUAUUUUCCAUAGAUAGCUGCUGGCCCAUAUUCAGGUCUCACUUUAACAUAGUUUCACUUCUUUACCAAGGAUUUCUCUGUCAUACGCUGCCCAGAAUAAAUCAGGGAACACCACCUUCUCCUUCAUAACACUUAUCACAGUGUGAUUAAUUAUUAGGUUUGGGCAAAAGUAAUUGCAGCUUUUGAUUACUUUCGAUGACAAAAACUGCAAUUACUUUUGCAUCAACCUAAUACACUCCUUUAAGCCAAGUCCCAUAGUCUCUUUUGCUUAGCAUUAUGUCUCUGGUAUCUAAUAGAGUAGCUGGCAUCUAAUUCUAACUCAAUAAUUACUUGUCAAAUGAGAGAAUAAAAUGGGUGCUAUAUAAUCUGCUAAAAAAGAGAGAAAAAAAUCCUAAUUCCCAGAGAGAUUAUAGACAAUGAAAAGAUUAGAAAAAAAGCCCUUUGAAUUUGUUAUUCAAAGUUUGUUGAGACAGAAAUUCUAGAAAUAGAAGAUUGAUAAAUCCAGCUGGAAUCAAUGGAGCUUAUGCUCAUCCCCAAAGCCUAUACCCACCUACUUCCUUUCUUCCCAGUGUAGUGAAUGGGCCCAAACAUCAAUGGCUCCACUCGUGAAAUCCUUUUGGAUUCCGUGCCACUUGUGAAAUGCUAGUCAAGUCUGCAAGAUUUGAAGGUGGUAUCUUGUUGAAAGCAUGUAAGAACUCAUUUCCCAAUCUGUGCAAUUCUCUUGGGCAAUAUCCCCAACCAGCAUUGUCCAGUUGUAUCUGAUACAGACACAGCCAGGUCAGGAAGGCUGCAGAGGGGUCUGAUUGCUUAAGACGUUGGGGAGGUGUGUUGGAGAAGAAAUCCUCACAGCAUAGCAAUGACUAUGCUAAUGCUCAUGCUUCAAAAGACAUGAGCAACAUUUUUUCUUCUUGCAACAGGUGUGCAUCCUUGAUUUCGGCUUUAGCUGACUGACUGUGGACUAGUGUCUUCUCCAAGUUCAGAGAGUCUGAAUAUACUCCAAGUUAGGAGUAUAUUUAGCAUCCUUGAUUUCGGCUUUAGCUGACUGACUGUAGAUUAGUGUGUUCUCCAAGAUCAGGGUGUCUUAAGGGUUAGGAGUACCUUUAGCUACCAGCUUCUUAUCUAUGAGUUGGAAGAAAUAAUCAAGCCUACCAUUGUUGAGGAUUUAUGGGGCUUCUGUAUGUGCUAUUUGCACUCAUUAGACUGGUUAAUCCAAAUAACUUGUAGGAGUGAUUUAUUUUCCACUGAGUUAACCCAUAGUUUGAAUUAGGCAAAAUGACAUAUUGUUUUCCUGUUAUAUAAACACAGGUAAUUUGUAAAUUAAGGAUCAAUGAUCAGUGUGAAAAGAUAGAUCACGUGGAUUAAAAUAAGUGUUUUAAAAACCUGCAUGGAAAGAAAAUGUGUAAAGAGAAUUUAUGUCAUCUUCUCCUUAACAAGGAAUCCCAACCUAUUACCAGCAUCUUAUAGAAUGGAAAAAAAAAAAAAAAAAAGACGUAUGUGUGCAAUGCUGUACACAGACCCCAAACCUAGAAACAGCCUGAUGUUCUUCAACAGGAGAGUGGAUAAAUAGCACAUAAAAGAUAAUUAUACAGCACAGAAAAAAAAGACAGUGCCUGGCAUUGAUACUAAGGAUUCAUCUUAAGCUGUAUCUUAUUAAAGUCAAAAGUUAAACAUGAGUGUAAUUUUUAUUUUAUUUUAUUUUACUUUUGAUACUGAGUUUCACUCUGUUUCCCAGGCUGGAGUGCAGUGGUGCAAUCUCGGCUCCCUGAAACCUCCACCUCUGGGUUCAAGUGAUUCUCCUGCCUCAGCCUCCCAAGUAGCUGGGAUUACGGGCAUGUGCCACCACGCUGGGCUACUUUUUUGUAUUUAGUAGAGACAGGGUUUCACCAUGUUGUUCAGGCUAGUCUCGAACUCCUGGCCUCAGGUCAUCCACCUGCUUUGGCCUCCCAAAGUGCUGGGAUUACAGGUGUGAGCCACGGUGCCUAGCCAAAAAUAAGUAUAAUUUUUAAAUAUCCAUUUAGGAGCCUAUUUGCAUGUCUCUAUAUAUCAUAAAGCCACAUAAAAACAAGGGUGUCAGGAUAUUGAUUGCCUUUAGGUUGGGUGGAGGCAGAUAGGAAGGGACCAGAGGAACCAUAAAAUUGGAGGCUGAUGACUGUCUCACUGUAGGUUUCUUUUUUCUUUUUGUAAGGAAACAAACCACUUUUAAAACGUGGGCAAAACAUUUGAAUAGACUUAUCACCAAAGACAUGCAGAUGGCAUGCAGCCUCCAGUUUACAGGAAGUGAACAGGAGAACACCCCAGGUGAUCCAUUGAUGCAAACAGGGAGAUCUAGAAUGUGGGUAUACUAAGGACAACUGAUCUGGUUUUUCAAUGUUCAGCAGGUACACGUGCAAGUUUGUUGCAAAGGUA
rnacentral:lncRNA from 10 species